rnacentral:rRNA from 1 species
CAGCAGCCGCGGUAAUACGUAGGGCGCAAGCGUUAUCCGGAAUUAUUGGGCGUAAAGAGCUCGUAGGCGGUUUGUCGCGUCUGCCGUGAAAGUCCGGGGCUCAACCCCGGAUCUGCGGUGGGUACGGGCAGACUAGAGUGAUGUAGGGGAGACUGGAAUUCCUGGUGUAGCGGUGAAAUGCGCAGAUAUCAGAAGGAACACCGAUGGCGAAGGCAGGUCUCUGGGCAUUAACUGACGCUGAGGAGCGAAAGCAUGGGGAGCGAACAGGAUUAGAUACCCCCGUAGUCCCUGUCUCUUAUAA